CCUUACUAGUCUAGGCAAUCCACACAAUAAAAUUCAUGCAAGGAGCCUCCACUCAUCUUAAUGCUCCGCUAUAAUAGCUCAACAAUUACCAAACUGUCUUAAGGUAGUUUACGGUUUAAUUCAAUAGAAGGUUAUCAUUCUUUUCCUAUUUUGUGCUCAAACUCCCGUCAUUCACCCAACAUGUAAAGCAUGAAUAGUGUGCACAGAUAAUGUCAAGUGUUGCAUCAACAAGUAUCAGUUAGCCUAAUUGCACCAGAUCCAAAGUUUUGCAGUUUAAACUAGUCCAAUUAUAACAUCAUAGCUAGCAAGGUUAUCAAGCUCACACAAGCAUGCAUGAAAAGAAUUAAAGCAAAACUGAAUAAAAUGCAUAGAAAUUUUUUUUCUAUUCACUCAACAUGCACACACUGUGGAAUGCAAAUACCGAUGAAAACAGAUACUUAGUUAAAAUUAUGUCACCCCCCAAACUUAGUUAAUACAUUGUCCUCAAUGUAAAAUUAACAGAAGAUUAACGACAGAAUUAUAAAGACAACAUGAAAAAGGAAAGUCAAAAUGUGAUAAAUAGUACUUCCCCUGUAUCAAAAUGGAUUAGCUGGCGUGAAACUGGGUCUUGAUGUACCAUCAUCUGGCGAUGGAGGGUGUCGUCCAAGGAGCUGCCGUAUCAUCUCAUUCAGCUCCAUCAUCAAGGUAGACUGUUGUGUCUGCUCGGCCUGAAUAGCUCGCAUGGUCUCCCAAGUUUCAUUUACCUUCAUUUGGAUACCGUCCACCCGGCCCAAAUAUAUGUUCAGCCGGCCAUUCAUGGUAUCAACCUCCCGUUGCAUGACUGUGGCAUGAUCCCUGGCAUCUUUGAUGUAGUUCAACGCAAGGUGAUUAUCUCUUUGUAAACUUCUCAAUUCAUUCCUCAUGUUGCCAAAAUCCUGAAAGAAACUAUGGAGGUCUCGACUGAUGCCCGUGGUGGUGGAGAAUGUCUGUCUUAGCAACUGAUUGUCCACGUCAGCCUAUGGUGCUGGAGCCCGUGGGUGUUCCUGAUCUGCAGGGAUUGGGCCUUGCUCUGCCUGCUGUCUACGGCGCUCAUUUUCUUGCUCUUCCCUAUGUUUAACCCGAGCCCUUAUUUGAGCGUCAAAUGUAGUUCGUUUGAUCAUGGGGCUGGGUUUUUCAGGUAACUCCUCAAGUAGGAGUGCAACACCCGCAGCCCUACAUAUGCAACUAAUGAGGCUCGGGAAUAUCAGAGUGGAAUGACGAUCUCUCCAAGUUCCCAAUGAAUGUAGUUGAUUGUAUAUAUGAGUAGUGAGAUCUAUCUUGUUGCCUCGAGCCAAGUGGUAGAUGAACCCUGCUAUCUGAUCUGGAAAUGUAGUCCUGUGUGAUAUGGGCUCGAUAUUGUGGCACAUAAAGAGCCAUAGAAUGGCUAUGGAAAGGGGAAGCUCAAUCUGAUGUCACUCGGUAGUUUCGAGAGGCCAUGCAUUCUCCUGUCCCAUUAAAAACCUCAGCCACUUCAUUCCAGUGAAAGUCAAUUGGGAGAGGGACCACAUUCUCCACGGUAAACUGGUAGUAGUCAUGAAUGACCUCGGGAGAAAACAUAAUCCACUUUCCCCGCACCCAAGUCUGAUGGAAAUGCUUGGAGCCUGGCGUGUCAAUUUCACUGUUGAAGUUGGCGAAGAACUCUCGGCAUAGAGUCUCAUAGAUUAGAUGUGGUCACUCCACCAACUUUUGCCACCCACAGAUUUGAACUAAGUUGACCAACUCAAAACCUGGGAAG
rnacentral:lncRNA from 1 species